GUAUUAGAGAGGCUAUUUUCCCUCUCUCUCUCACUCCCUCACUAUCUCUCUCUCUCUCUCCCUCUGAUCGUGCGAAGGGGGAAAGGAAGAAAGGAAAGAAAAGAGAAAGGAGAAGAAAUGAAGAAAAAGAGAAAGGAAAGGAAAGGAAGGAGAGGACCAAGGAGGAGAUUCUCUUCCUCAUCUUCAUCUUCAUCUUCACCUUCUUCUCAUUUUGGAG
rnacentral:lncRNA from 1 species